rnacentral:rRNA from 1 species
UGCCGCCCUGAAGGGCGUAUGGUGGAUGCCUUGGCAGACAGUACCGAUGAAGGACGUUUGAGGAUGCGAUAAGCCUCGGGGAGCCUCCAACAUGGCUUCGAUCCGAGGAUUUCCGAAUGGGGCAACCCGCCGGCCGUCAUGGGCCGGCACGGAACCUUGUUGUUCCGGGGGUACGCAGGGAAGUGAAACAUCUCAGUACCUGCAGGAAGGGAUACUCCGUGAGUAGUGGCGAGCGAAAGCGGAUCAGACCAAACCAUGGGCGCGUGAUACCCGUCGGGGGUUGCGUUCGUGGUGUUGCGGGAGCGUGUGUCCCGGUUCCGACGGACCGGGCGGGAGUCAUAAAACGGCUUGCCAGGGGAACAGGCUUGAAGGCCUGGCCGCAGAGGGUGCCAGCCCCGUACCUGGAAGCUUGCCGUCUUCCGAUCAUGUGUCCCAAGUAGCGCGGGCCUCGUGGAAUCCCGUGUGAAUCGGCCCCGACCGUGGGGUAAGUCUAAGCAUACCUGUCUGACCGAUAGCGUACCAGUACCGUGAGGGAAAGGUGAAAAGCACCCCGGGAGGGGAGUGAAAGAGUUCCUGAAACCGUGCGCCUACAAUCCGUCGGAGCCUCCUUGUGGGGUGACGGCGUGCCUAUCGAAAAAUGAGUCUGCGAGUCAGUGGUGCGUGGCGAGGCUAACCCGUGGUGGGGGAGCCGUAGCGAAGGCGAGUCUCAAAAGGCGUUUUGAGUCGCGCGCCCUGGACCCGAAGCGGGAUGAUCUAGCCCUGGGCAGGUUGAAGCGCGGGUAAGACCGCGUGGAGGACCGAACCCACCUGGGUUGAAAACCGGGGGGGAUGACCUGGGGCUAGGGGUGAAAGGCCAAUCAAAUUCCGUGAUAGCUGGUUCUCUCCGAAAUGCAUUUAGGUGCAGCGUCGGUUGAUUGCAUCGCGGGGGGUAGAGCUACUGGAUGCUUGCGGGCCCGUGUCGGGUACCAAUAGCAGCCAAACUCCGAAUACCGUGGAUGUGUAUUCCGGCAGUGAGUCGGCGGGGGAUAAGCUCCGUCGUCGAGAGGGAGACAGCCCAGAUCGUCGUCUAAGGUCCCGAAGCGUGUGCUAAGUGGGAAAGGAUGUGGAGUCGCAUAGACAGCCAGGAGGUUGGCUCAGAAGCAGCCAUCCUUGAAAGAGUGCGUAACAGCUCACUGGUCUAGUGGUUCCGCGCCGACAAUGUAGCGGGGCUCAAGCACACCACCGAAGACGCGGCAGCGGCCUUUGCGGCCGUUGGGUAGGAGAGCGUCCCGCGUGGGGCGAAGCGGCCGGGGAACCGUGCCGUGGACCGCGCGGGAGUGAGAAUGCAGACAUGAGUAGCGAGAGACGGGUGAGGAUCCCGUCCGCUGGAUGACCAAGGGUUCCGGGGCCACGUUCGUCGUCCCCGGGUGAGUCGGGUCCUAAGGCGAGGCCGACAGGCGUAGUCGAAUGGAUGAACGGGUGGAUAUUCCCGUACCGGCGGCGUACCGUAAGAGCCGAACGGAUGAGUACUAACCUCCGGUCGCGUGGCGUCGUUCCUUCGGGGUUCGGGGUCCGCGGUCGUUGGGAGCGUAGUCCUGGUAGGCUAGCGCACAGGGGUGACACGGAAUGGGAGCCGGCCGCGGAGGUGGUUUUCCGUGGUCAAGCACGCAGCCCGUCCCAUAGGCAAAUCCGUGGGACGCAUAGGGUGAGGUGUGAUGAUGGGCGUCCUUUGGACGCGAUAUCCGGUGGUCCAGGCCGUCGAGAAAAGCCUCGGCGCGAGGGGCGUCGCCGCCCGUACCCCAAACCGACACUGGUGGUCAGGUAGAGAAUACCAAGGCGAUCGAGCGAAUCCUGGUCAAGGAACUCGGCAAAUCACUCCCGUGCCUUCGGUAUAAGGGAGACCCCCGGGCGUGAAGAGGCUUGCCCUCGGAGCGUUGGGGGGUGGCACAGACCAGGGGGUAGCGACUGUUUACCAAAAACACAGGUGCAUGCGAAGGCGCAAGCCGCUGUAUAUGCACUGACGCCUGCCCGGUGCCGGAAGGUUAAGAGGAUCCGUCAGCCCCUUUUGGGGUGAAGCGGUGAAUUCAAGCCCCGGUAAACGGCGGUGGUAACUAUAACCAUCCUAAGGUAGCGAAAUUCCUUGUCGGGUAAGUUCCGACCUGCACGAAUGGCGUAACGACUUCCCCACUGUCUCGACCAGGAGCUCGGCGAAAUUGCAGUACGAGUAAAGAUGCUCGUUAAGCGCAGAAGGACGAAAAGACCCCGGGACCUUUACUAUACCUUGGUAUUGGCGUUAGGCGCGGAUUGUGUAGCAUAGGCGGGAGGCUUCGAAGCAUGGGCGCCAGCCCGUGUGGAGCCGCAAGGUGAAAUACCGCUCUGUUCUC